CCUCUAAAAGAAUCAUAUGCAUGCAUAAGGUAGGGCUUAUACCCUUGAUAUCAUCAAUGGUAUAACCAAUAACUUUCCUAUGUGCUCUUAACUCUCUCAACAAUUUUUCAACUCGUACAUCACUCAGACUUGCACUAAUAAUGACAGGAUAAGUUGAAUUAGGUCCAAGAAAAACAUACCUUAAUAUAGAUGGAAGUGGCUUGAGGUCUACUUGUGGUGCUUCCUUCUCAUCUAGCAAAGGUGGUUGUGCAACUUUAUGUUUCAACUCUUCAACUUGCAAAACUUGAUCUCCUACAACUUCUUGAGUAGCCUUCAAAAUUUCAGCAAAAGCUGUAACUUCAGGAUUUUCAUCCUUUG
rnacentral:misc_RNA from 1 species